GUACGGUCUCCCACAAACAACCUU
rnacentral:siRNA from 1 species